CAUCCAGGACGCUGACGUCACAGCAACAAUGGCGGAGACUGCCGUCGUGGAUGUCAACACCGCCGCGGAGAGGACGACCCAAGCGGCCAUGGCCUACCUUCACGACGAGAUGAGUGAUGGGGAAAUGGCCCAACUGCACUUGGGAGAACUGGACCUGACCACCGAUGAGUUGAUCUUGGAUGAAGUGGACCUUCACAUCCAGGCCAACUUGGAGGACGAGCUCGUCAAGGAGGCGCUACAGACGGGUGUGGACCUUCGCCAGUACUCCAAACAGGUGGAGGCGGAGCUUGAGCGGAUCGAGCAUGCGUCCAUCAAGGACUACAUCAAAGAGAGCCAGAACAUCGCUCUGCUGCACCAGCAGAUCAGCGCCUGCGACGCCAUUUUGGAGCGGAUGGAGGAGAUGCUGAGCGGCUUCCAGAGCGACCUGUCGUCCAUCAGCAGCGAGAUCCACACGCUGCAGCGCCAGUCGCUCGGCAUGAACGUCCGCCUGAAGAACCGGCAGGCGGUGCGCGGCCGCCUCGGCCAGCUGGUGGACGAGCUGUUGGUGCCCGGCGCCAUGAUCUCCACCAUCCUGGACUGUGCGGUGACAGAGCAGGACUUCCUGGAGCAGCUGCACGAGCUCAACAACAAGAUCAACCUGGCCAAGGAGCUCAGCUUCCGAGAGACGCUGGCCUGCGCUGACAUCCAGGACAUCGUGGACCGCCUCAAGGUCAAGGCGGUGUCGAAGAUUCGAGAGUUCAUCCUUCAGAAGAUCUACUCGUUCAGGAAGCCAAUGACCAACUACCAGAUCCCACAGAACACUCUGCUCAAGUACAGAUUCUUCUACCAGUUCCUGCUGGCCAAUGAGAGGACGGUGGCCAAGGAGGUGCGAGACGACUACGUGGACACUAUGAGUAAGAUCUACUUCAGCUACUUCAAGUCGUACAGCGGCCGACUGCUCAAAGUGCAGUACGAGGAAGUCGCUGACAAGGACGAUCUAAUGGGGGUCGAAGACACUGCCAAGAAAGGUUUCUUCUCCAAGCCGUCUCUGAAGAGCAGGAACACCAUCUUCACUCUGGGCCAGAGGGGCGCCAUACUGAGCCCCCCGGAGCUGGAGGGUCCCAUUCUGGUUCCUCACACGGCACAGAGAGGUGACAGCAGGUACCCGUACGAGACGCUGUUCCGCAGCCAACACUACGCCCUGCUGGACAACGGCUGCAGGGAGUUCCUGUUCCUGUGCGACUUCUUCAUGGUGGCGGGGAACUCCGCACUGGACCUUUUCAACAGUAUCAUGGGAAAGACGCUCGGCAUGUUUCUGAAGAGCAUGUCCACGUACGUGUCGGACUGCUACGACGGCAUCGCGGUCUUCCUGUGCAUCCACAUCAUCCUCCGCUUCCGAGCCAUUGCCGCUAAGAGGAACAUUCCGGCUCUGGACAAGUACUGGGAGGCUGUGCUGGAGAUGCUGUGGCCGCGCUUUGAGCUCAUCCUGGAGAUGAACAUCCACAGCAUCAGGAACACGGACCCGCGGAAGCUGGGAGUGCUGGACACGAGGCCGCACUACAUCACACGCCGUUACGCGGAGUUCUCGUCGGCCAUCGUCAGUAUCAACCAGACCUUCCCCAACGAGAGGACCAACGCUCUGCUGGCUCAGCUGCAGGUGGAGGUGGAGAACUUUGUGCUGAAGAUGGCGGCGGAGUUCCCCUCCAGAAGAGAGCAGCUCGUCUUCCUCAUCAACAACUACGACAUGAUGCUCGGAGUGCUCAUGGAGAGGGCAGCGGAUGACAGCAAGGAGGUGGAAGGCUUCCAGCAGCUUCUGCUGGCCAGGACGCAGGAGUUUAUUGAGGAGCUCCUGUCGCCGCCCUUCGGGGGAAUGAUCUCCUUUGUGAAGGAGGCCGAGGCGCUGAUGGAAAGAGGGCAGCUGGAGCGGCUGAAGAACGACGAAGCUCGUAUCUGCCAGCUGGUUCGAGGCUUCUCGGGCACGUGGAAGCAGUCUGUGGAGGCCAUGAGCCAGGACGUCAUGAGGUCCUUCACCAACUUCAAGAACGGAACCGGAAUCAUCCAGGGCGCCCUCACCCAAUUGAUCCAAUACUACCACGGCUUCCACAAGAUCCUCAGCCAGCCGACGUUCCGCAGCCUGCCGGCCCGAUCCGACCUCAUCAACCUGCAUCACCUCAUGGUGGAGGUGAAGAAGCACAAGCCCAACUUCUGACGGCGCUGUGCCGAGUAUGCGCUUCUUCGUCUGAAGUGGACAAGAAAAAAAACUUCAACCCACCAUCUCCACCACCAAACCAGACUGUGAUGGGAGAACGCAGGACCGAUUCGAUGACCGCCGUGUAGAACCGCCUCAGCAGCUCCCGUGGCAGGCCGUCCUUCCUCAGAAGCCGCAGGAAGUACAUCCUCCGCUGGGCCUUUUUGAGGACGGAGUUGAAGUUGUUCACCCACUUCGGGUCCUGAGAGACCGUAAUCGCCAGGAACUUGAGGGUCUCGACGGUUGACACAAGGCAGCUGGGCAGCUGUGGCGAAGGAUGCCUCCUGAAGUCCACGAUCAUCUCUGCAGUCUUGAGCGUGUUCAGCUCCAGGUUGCGUCGGCCGCACCGCAGACGAAUGAUAUUAUAGUCAUAAUUUUAUUAUAUUGAUCAUUUAGAUACAAAUAUUGAAUAUUAUAUGAGGACACAUUUU